CCGACUUGAAAAUCGCUAAUUUUAUUGAAAUUGAUAUUUUUGUUUUAUUGGCAUGUCCAGAAAGUUCUUUUCUUGAUUCAAAAAACUUUUAUCGUCCCGUUAUUACUCCUUUCGAAAUGCAACUCGCGUGUGUGCGAAGUCUUGACUGGACGGGCGAGUUUACUACUGAUUUUCACAAAGUUUUGUUUAACCUCAAUGAAAAUAGUGAAAAUUACGAUAGCGAGGAAGAAGGAGACUUCAGCCUUAUUAAUGGCCGCUAUCGUGUUAAUAAAAAUGUUGCUGAAGUUUCUAGCAGAGAAAUUUGCGCGUUGAAUAAAGAAACGUUGGUCGUCACUGCAAAAGACUUUUUAAAUCACCGACGAGGUUACCGCGGAUUGGACAAAGCUUUACACGUGACAGAGGUGAGAAAAGCCGUCGCUGGUUCUACUGGCCUCCCGAGAGGUUAUAUUAGAA